rnacentral:rRNA from 2 species
UUUAUUGGAGAGUUUGAUCCUGGCUCAGGACGAACGCUGGCGGCGUGCCUAAUACAUGCAAGUCGAGCGAAUCGAUGGGAGCUUGCUCCCUGAGAUUAGCGGCGGACGGGUGAGUAACACGUGGGUAACCUGCCUGUAAGAUUGGGAUAACUCCGGGAAACCGGAGCUAAUACCGGAUAACAUUUUGAACCGCAUGGUUCGAAAUUGAAAGAUGGCUUCUAGCUAUCACUUACAGAUGGACCCGCGGCGCAUUAGCUAGUUGGUGAGGUAACGGCUCACCAAGGCAACGAUGCGUAGCCGACCUGAGAGGGUGAUCGGCCACACUGGGACUGAGACACGGCCCAGACU